rnacentral:misc_RNA from 1 species
AAGUCGUAACAAGGUUUCCGUAGGUGAACCUGCGGAAGGAUCAUUAACACGUAUCCAACGUUAAACCCCCCGUGAACCUUCAUUGUGCUCCCCCAUUCCGUUAGGACGCGGCAAUCCCUGGUAAAUCAUCGCCGAACAGUUUUGAUUCAGGGACCUCUGCAUGGAGUGGGCAGCAGCGCGAGGCAAGUGGCCUGACACGGCCGGCGACCGGGUCACUGGGCUCACGCCCCCCUAUCACCUUUGCAUGAAAACGGGCCUGCGCUUAAUUGUGCGGCCACCAAACUCGAACAACUGUUAACAAUGGAUAUCUUGGUUCUC